CCGGUGGGUCUCAGAGGGUCGGCAACAUGGACGACGAGAGACUCAUUGUCGAAGUUCAGCAACAUGAAGUCAUUUAUGUACCAAAUCAUCCUUUUUAUAAGGAAAAUGUCAGAAAGGACAAAGCGUGGCAUUUAAUUGCAAUAGUUUUGGGAUGAUGUGCACUUUUUAAUAUGUUGUUGAAAUUGGUUUUUACAUCCUGACAGCAAUAAAUAACUUAUGGGCAAUGAAAAAGAAGCGAAAAAAAAACCGAAUUCUGUAUCGGCUAUAAACCUGUUAAAAUGCUUACCAAUCGGAGACAUUGUA